GACGAACGCUGGCGGCGUGCCUAAUACAUGCAAGUAGAACGCUGAAGGAGGAGCUUGCUUCUCUGGAUGAGUUGCGAACGGGUGAGUAACGCGUAGGUAACCUGCCUGGUAGCGGGGGAUAACUAUUGGAAACGAUAGCUAAUACCGCAUAAUAGUAGAUGUUGCAUGACAUUUGCUUAAAAGGUGCAAUUGCAUCACUACCAGAUGGACCUGCGUUGUAUUAGCUAGUUGGUGGGGUAACGGCUCACCAAGGCGACGAUACAUAGCCGACCUGAGAGGGUGAGCGGCCACACUGGGACUGAGACACGCCCCAGACUCCUACGGGAGGCAGCAGUAGGGAAUCUUCGGCAAUGGACGGAAGUCUGACCGAGCAACGCCGCGUGAGUGAAGAAGAUUUUCGGAUCGUAGAGCACUGUUGUAAGAGAAGAACGAGUGUGAGAGUGGAAAGUUCACACUGUGACGGUAUCUUACCAGAAAGGGACGGCUAACUACGUG
rnacentral:rRNA from 1 species